GAUCUUUAUAUAUUAAAUAAUUAGUAAACAUUAGAUUAAUUUUUUUUUUAAUUAUUGAUAUAUUAUAUUGGGGUAAUAAUAAAAUUUUAAAAAUUUUUAUUUUUUAUUAUCAACUAUGAUUGAUUUUUUGAUCCAAUAUUAUUGAUUAUAAAUUUAAGUUACCUUAGGGAUAACAGCGUAAUGAUUUUUGAGAGUUCUUAUUGA
rnacentral:rRNA from 1 species